CAAGAUUUAGGGAUUUAUAGCUUAUGAACUACUUACCUAUGAAAUGUCCAUUGUUUGUCCUACUGAACUACUACAGUUUAUAAGGACAAAUCACAAAUAAAACUUAACCUCACUGUACUUGAACUGAGCGGGAGUUAAUUAUUCAUUCUUUAGCUGCAAUAAAUUUAUGAAAUAGAUCAAAAGUGUUGGCGGCAAUAGUGAAUGACUUAGGUGUUUGAUUUGUCACGUGCACAUGCGCACUAGAUCUUUCAUUCUUCAUCAUUGCCCUCAUGUAAUCAUUAUUAUCAUAUUGAUGUUGACAAUGCUUUUAAAAGGAAAAAGUACAAAAAGUAUCAUGUGGUUUGGUUCCCUCCCAAGUGUUGUAUGGUUUGGAUUUUGACAAACCAGUACCUGUGGUUUAACACCGUUAAUAGCUGCUAAAGUGGCGCUAUUUUUCUGCCCGCCACACCAACAGCCAUUAACCAUGUUAGGGUGUUUGUAUGAUCUUUGCUAAUGGAGUUAACCAUAGGGUACUUAUUUGUCAAAACUCACAGCACAUUUCCAUACUUGGAAAUGGUCCAAACCAUGGGUUACUUUUUUUGUACUUUCCCCUUUUAAAAAUCCUUUUUCUAUUUGGUGAUGUGAGCAGCAUUGAAGAAGUCAUUGCAAAAUUUGCUCAGUUAACACCUCAAGAAAGGGCAAAAAGGUAAGAAAGAAGUGUCCUUGCUUCCUUUCUUUAAUUAUGCAUCUACUUUGAUUUAUGGAAUUGGUAUUUAAUUUUUUUUUCAUUUGAUUGGAACAGGAAGUUAGAAAGCCUUGAAGUAAGUUCUUUCGUGUGAACCAUUCCCCAUUACUGAUAUCAAUCUCUAUCUUUUUUCUUACCACCGGGUUUCACUGCUGCAAUUUUUCAUUCUCAUUGGUAACAUGACUUUUUUGUCUUCUUUUGAGAGUAAAGGUGCUGAAGAAAACUUUUAAGAAGUUGGACCAUGAUGUUAACAUACCUGAAUUUCUGGGCACAAGUUCUCAAACAGUAGAGGACCUGUCAAACCAAUCGAGGUUACUGCAGAAUCAACUUUCUGAAGCGCAUAAGAGAUUGAGCUAUUGGACUAAUCCAGAUAAGAUUAACAACAUAGAGCAUCUGGAUCAAUUGGAAAAUUCACUCAGGGAAUCACUUAAUCAACUUCGAGCUCAUAAGGAUUAUUUAGGAGAACAGCAACUUAUGUCGUUAGAAUGCAAUAAUCAGUUCCAAAAUGGGAUGCAUGUACCUUUCAGAGUUGGUGCUGAUCAGCAGGUCCCACCUAUGCCUUGGAUUCCAAAUAAUGACAGUCAACCAAUUGUGUUACCAGAAGAUCCAAAUCUCCUUCCCCAUAGGGAUGUCGAGUGUUCUGCAAGUUCCUCCUUUGGGAGUUAUUCUGGUUACUUUGGCACAGGAAAGAGUUCAGAACUAUCUAAUUCUAGUCAAGAAAAUGGUGUGAAUGGUCUUCUUAAUGAGUUAAAUGGAACUGCAUCACUGAGGCUGCAGUUGGCUGGGCAGUAUCCUUACUUGCCAAACAAUCUGAAUUUGCUGAAUGAUGAAAAAUUCCAACCUGCAGCAGAGAUGAACCUACAAGAAAGCCCUGUGGAUUUUCAUGUUAAUGGAAGUUUUGAAGCUCCUAAACCUGGAUAUGACACUACCCAUGGUAGUUGGGCUUCUUCAUCAGGGCCAUGUGCUGUUACCAUGUUUGACGAGCAUUUCUAUUCCCGGGUGAGUGCAACCUUAGUUUUCUCUAGCUUUUAAGUGCGUGUUUUUUAUUUUGCACAGUUUUCAGUGAAUGUCAAAUCCUGAACUAACUUUAUUACUAAGAUACAUCAUACAUUCAUGUCAAAAUUUUAUAUAUAAAACAGCAUGGAGUAUUUCAAUUUUUUUGGCAUAUCCAAACAGGUUCUUAGUUAACUGUCAAUAGAAAUUAACUGUGGGAAUUUAAGAUGUCCAACUCUGCAUUCCUUUCCUCAAAUGCGCUAAAAGAGAACUGUCAGCUUUAGUUGCCCUUGCAAUAAUUUUAAAGAAAUCUAUAUAUACAUAAAGCUUCAAUCAAGAUACAAAUUCCUUUCCUCACCUAAUGUAAGUUGUGUAGCAAAUCUGUAAACAGGCAUCCCUUGCUAUUGCUAAAAUUAUUAAGCUUGUAAUGAAGAAAUUUCUUUUUCCUUUUAUUUUCUUUUAUUUGGCACUGGUCCAAGCCCUUUAUGAAGCAGUUGAAAAACUGCCUCAAUUAGAGGAGUGCGCAAAUGAUGUUGAAGACUUUAUCUAAUAUCUAGCAGUGCAGCAUAAUUCACUAGUGAUAACAGAACCUUAUGAAUACUUAUUUAGAGAGAGGAGGCCAUAUGGUGGUUCACUAAUGCUCAGAAAUAGUAGAAUGAAUGGUAGAACAAUUAAACUUUUAUUAUUUAAAAAAAAUUGCAAUAAUUUUUUUUCAAUAAAAAAAAAUUGCAACUCACUAUCGUAGUUCCAAAGGCUUUUAUAGAAUUUCAGCGGAAAAGCUUGUGUAGUGAUAGAGAUGAUACCUAUGCAGAUGUAUGUAGGUCAUUUGUAAGUUUUUUUUUUUUAAUUAUAAAAUGUUCAAGUAAAUUUGUAAGAAGUAGAAUGAUAAUGUUUCUUAUUUGAAUGCUUUGAUGCAUAUUUAAAUUUUGUUUUUAGAAAGAUCAUCUGUAUGGGAGCAACAAUGAGGAAUAUUACAGAAUUUCCUGAGUGGUAGCUUCGUUUGGGCUCAUGGGAAGUGUGAUUGUCUCAUGAACUAGGAUAUCACACGAUCUUAAGGUGAGUUUGAUUUGUUUCUAAAUGGUUGCCUAUCAGAGAUGUAAUGAGAUGAUCAUAACUUUCUCUGAAAGAAAGAAGUGCUUCUAGUGUGCAUUCUAAAUACCCAAGUUGUGGUAUAUUGGAUUAUUAUAUACUCUGCAUAAAAUUACAAGAUUGGUGCUUUUUAGGCAUCAACGUACCUGUAUGGUUCUAUAUUUCACAUCAGUCUGUUGAGGGUCUAAAGUUCAUUUGUUUUCUUUAGAAAUACUACAGUAGAUGCAUUACAAUGAUUUCUGAGUCUCAUAACUAGUCUGUGCCAUGCAUUUUUUGUGAUAUGUAUAUCAAGUUUUCUGUUUAAGAUGGUGCAUAUUUUUACUUCAUUAGCACAUUUGCAUUUAUCUCUUCCUUUCAUUUUCAUUCUUUAUUUGUUACUUUAGUACCGCACUGCCUCUAGGUUAAUAAUGGUGGGAUCUAUCCUUGGUGGCAAUGGCAUUACUGCAACACAGCAUAGUUUCACCUUACAUCUUCAUUCUUUAAGGGUUUUGCACUAAUGGCUCCUUAAUCCUAAUCUCCAGUGCACGAUUAUGAUGGUCAUAUCGUACUUGAGUUUGUCUCAUAAUCUUAUAUUUUGAAUCAUGAAUUGAGUCUGUCUUAGAAGCUAAGGUUUUCUAAUGCCCAUAAUAAUUGUUUCUUACAGCAACCAAACUGAGCGUGAUGGAUGAUCUUACUGUUUGGCAACUGAUGAAGUUGCUGGAGAGCUUGGCCGCAUUUAUGUGAAAUUGCGUAUCCCCACCAAAUGAAGCUUCUGAAUUUGCAAUAGAUUUUUAGCCAUGCAAAUGUGAGAAGCAGGCAAUGAGAUGCAUACAUAUAUAUGUUUGGCAUGAUAAAAGCAUAGAAAUGCCCCGAUGUUGGUUACUAGUUAGAAAGAGAAUUAUGCCUAAAUUGAGGCAUUACUUUUGUGAUACUACAGUUUCUUCUGUAUACAAACUACAUAAAUAUUAGGUUUUGCGAAGUUUUCUUGUUUUUGGUGGCAAGGUCACACCUAUGGCAGCCAGAGUACUGCUUCCUUGUCCUCCCCAAGUGUGUCCUGAGAUGUAAAUUAUAAACCAUAUAUAGCAAUAACCAUAUAGAAAUUGUUGUAAGUCAAGAACUACAUUUAUGAAUUGAUUUUUUUUUUUUAAAUCUGUAGACACAGUUCUUGUUUAGUUUCGAU
rnacentral:misc_RNA from 1 species